UUGUGUCACUGUGGAGGAACUCGACUCUCAGUUAGAACUGCGGCUCGUCCCGCUCUCACAGUGCUGCCGCCCUCCAGAGACCAGCUGCAGCAGGGUAAGGCUACAGUGCUGUGUGUGGCCAGUAAGGGAUUCCCCUCUGACUGGAAGCUGAGCUGGAAGGUGGACGGCAGCAGCAGGAGCUCUGGUGUCAAUCUGAGUCCCAGUCAGCUGCAGAAGGAUGGACUGUACAGCUGGAGCAGCAGCCUGAGCCUCACUGAGAGUGAGUGGAGCAGAGCAACGACCGUCAGCUGUGACGCCACUCACCCAUCCCACAGUGCAGUGACCAAGAGCCUCAACACACAGCAGUGCGAUGAAUGAAACACACACACACACUGCCCUAAA